rnacentral:rRNA from 1 species
CCUACGGGGUGCAGCAGUGGGGAAUAUUGGACAAUGGGCGAAAGCCUGAUCCAGCCAUGCCGCGUGUGUGAAGAAGGCCUUCGGGUUGUAAAGCACUUUCAGUGGGGAAGAAAGCCUUGGGGCUAAUACCCUCGAGGAAGGACAUCACCCACAGAAGAAGCACCGGCUAACUCCGUGCCAGCAGCCGCGGUAAUACGGAGGGUGCGAGCGUUAAUCGGAAUUACUGGGCGUAAAGCGCGCGUAGGCGGUCUGAUAAGCCGGUUGUGAAAGCCCCGGGCUCAACCUGGGAACGGCAUCCGGAACUGUCAGGCUAGAGUGCAGGAGAGGAAGGUAGAAUUCCCGGUGUAGCAGUGAAAUGCGUAGAGAUCGGGAGGAAUACCAGUGGCGAAGGCGGCCUUCUGGACUGACACUGACGCUGAGGUGCGAAAGCGUGGGUAGCAAACAGGAUUAGAUACCCGUGUAGUC